CAGCCGCCGCGGUAAGACAGAGGAUGCAAGCGUUAUCCGGAAUGAUUGGGCGUAAAGCGUCUGUAGGUGGCUUUCCAAGUCCGCCAUCAAAUCCCAAGGCUCAACCCUGGACAGGCGGUGGAAAAUACCAAGCUGGAGUACGGUAGGGGCAGAGGGAAUUUCCGGUGGAGCGGUGAAAUGCGUUGUGAUUGGAAAGAACACCAACGGUGAAAGCACUCUGCUGGGCCGACACUGACACUGAGAGACGAAAGCUAGGGGAGCAAAUGGGAUUAGAGACCCCCGUAGUCCCUGUCUCUUAUAA
rnacentral:rRNA from 1 species